rnacentral:rRNA from 1 species
GAUCCUGGCUCAGGACGAACGCUGGCGGCGUGCCUAACACAUGCAAGUCGAGCGAGAAUUCAUCAACUGAUUCCUUCGGGAUGAAGAUGAUGAAAGAAAGCGGCGGACGGGUGAGUAACGCGUGAGUAACCUGCCCAUAAGAGGGGGAUAAUCCAUGGAAACGUGGACUAAUACCGCAUAUUGAGUAUUUACCGCAUGAUAAAUACUUGAAAGAUUUAUCGCUUAUGGAUGG